rnacentral:lncRNA from 1 species
GCCAUCACCACCACGCCCCCUAGAGGGCUAGGCUCCUGCAGAGAUGUUUCAAGAGCCUCUGUGAGCUUGAAGGUACCCAUCUAAUUGUUGUUAGGGAUCACUGUCAUAAGUCAUCCUGUGUGUAGCCACCAAAUUCAGAGAUCUACUCAUCUGAAAACAGACAAACAAAGAGACAUCUCUAGCUCAGAAGAAGCCCGAGGGGCAUCUGAAGAAAAAUCUCUAAAUUGUUUAUGGGAAAAGGCCUGUGCUGAAUGCCCUGAUAUUUUCUUUGCUUGCUGGGAAUUUCCCUUUUCCAUGACAGAUAUUCAUUGAUUUGAAAGAGAAAAAGGCUACUUUCCAGUGGAAAAAUUAUCUUUAUCAUUUUAAUAAAAGCACCAGUAAUGAGACAUAUUUAUGAUAUGACAGCACUUCUGUAAUAUUGCUGACAAAAUGCACAACUUGAGUUUAAUGAUGCAGAAACAUCAGGUAAGCUCUAAUUAAAGAAUAUGCAACAAAAUAGCUUGC